UUUCCGUAGGUGAACCUGCGGAAGGAUCAUUACCAAAAGAUAAUCCUUCAACUCGAAAGAUCUUUUCCUUUGUGCUGGCUUUGACCGUAUGUAAUUUUGGGACUUAAACAUGGUAAGCCUUACGGUUUACCGGUCUCAAAAACAAUAUAUCACCCUUAUGAAAAACUUACUGAACAACUAAACAAUGAUUUUAAUAAUCUGUUUAAAACAACUUUCAACAACGGAUCUCUUGGUUCUCACAUCGAUGAAGAACGCAGC
rnacentral:misc_RNA from 1 species